AUACCAACACUUAAUCUAAAUCAAUUCUAAAAAACAGUAUCCACAUAGUGGUGAUGAAUCAAUCAAUCAAGAGGCACUUGUAAUGACUGAGGCAGGCACUGAGCCUGUUAUU